AUGGUUCAUAGGAUCAUCGGUGUUGGUGUGCACUACACCAAUGGAGAUGAACCUCCCCAGAUGGCAGCAGUCCUGCAGUUGUGCGUCGACGACCUCUGCUUGGUUUACCACAUCGCAGCGGCCACAAAAUGGCCCAAGCGCCUGAACGAGUUGCUGCAGCAUAAGAAGUUGUUCACCUUUGCCGGUUUCAGCAUUGAAAGCGACAAAGAGAAGCAGAAGUUGUCCGGUUUGGAGAUCAACCCCAACAAGUUCAUCGACAUUCAGCGCAAGUGGAGAGUACCAUAG
rnacentral:rRNA from 1 species